UGCAGUGUAGAGUAAUUGGAGAACUCGUCGGGCUCAUGACCCGCCGAUGAAGGUUCGAACCCUUCCACUGCAA
rnacentral:tRNA from 1 species